CAAUAACCAAAAAGAAGAAGAAGAAAAGAAACAAUAGCCAUUUUAAUAUACUGACGACAUUCAAUUAAAAAUUCAUUUGAUAACAUUCAGAAACUUGAUUAAUUUUCUUAAGGAAGAUAGAAAAUUUAUAUAUGAAUAUACAAUAAUAGGAACACAAAAUUUCUCUCUCAGUGAUAUUGCACCUGUAUGGCUCUUUCGAUGAAACUAGGUAAAAGUCCACCGAUUGAAUGGAAUCGGCCUAGGUUUGGGGCUUCCGUUGGAGGUGUGGCUGGGCUCAUAAGCUUCGGAGCCAAAGCAGACGAAGGUGAAGUGUGCCUCUUGUUGUGAAACAGAGCCUUAGCCGGAGUCUCGCUCUAGUGCGCAAAAGCCGGAUUUGGUGAUGUUGAUGCCUCGGAAACUAGAGAUGGUGGAUAGUGGACUAGAGUAGUCGGCAGUGGUGAGCUGACUGGCUCAAAUGCUGGAGGUGAGCUCACUGGAGCCAGCAUUGAAAUAAUCUUCGACGACGAUAGAGAAAGGAAGAGAGACGAGAGAAGAUAGAUGAGAGAAAAAAUUGGAAAAUGAAA
rnacentral:lncRNA from 1 species